UACAUAGGUGGCAAGCGUUAUCCGGAUUUAUUGGGCGUACAGGGUGCGUAGGUGGUUUGAUAAGUUUAGGGUUAAAGGCCGGAGCUCAACUCCGGUUCGCCUUGAAAACUGUCUUACUAGAAUACAGGAGAGGUAGAUGGAAUUCCAUGUGUAGCGGUGAAAUGCGUAGAUAUAUGGAGGAACACCAGUGGCGUAGGCGGUCUACUGGCCUGUUAUUGACACUGAGGCACGAAAGCGUGGGGAGCAAAUAGG
rnacentral:rRNA from 1 species